AUACGGAGGAUGCGAGUGUUAUCCGGAUUUAUUGGGUUUAAAGGGAGCGUAGGUGGGAUAUUAAGUCAGCUGUGAAAGUUUGGGGCUCAACCUUAAAAUUGCAGUUGAUACUGGUUUCCUUGAGUACGGUACAGGUGGGCGGAAUUCGUGGUGUAGCGGUGAAAUGCUUAGAUAUCACGAAGAACUCCGAUCGCGAAGGCAGCUCACCGGGCCGGAACUGACACUGAUGCUCGAAAGUGCGGGUAUCAAACAGGAUUAGAUACCCUGGUAGUCCGCACAGUAAACGAUGAAUACUCGCUGUUUGCGAUACACUGUAAGCGGCCAAGCGAAAGCGUUAAGUAUUCCACCUGGGGAGUACGCCGGCAACGGUGAAACUCAAAGGAAUUGACGGGG
rnacentral:rRNA from 1 species